CAUCCAAGCAUUGGAAUACUGGUUUUCAUGUGAUCACUGAAGUUAAGCAAAGUCAAGCUUGGUCAAUACUUAGAUGGGUGACCUCUUGGGAAUACCAGGUGCUGCAAGC